rnacentral:rRNA from 1 species
CAGUAGCCGCGGGAAUACGAAGGGUGCAAGCGUUACUCGGGACUACUGGGCGUAAAGCGUGCGUAGGUGGUGGUUUAAGUCCGUUGUGAAAGCCCUGGGCUCAACCUGGGAAUUGCAGUGGAUACUGGGUCACUAGAGUGUGGUAGAGGAUAGUGGAAUUUCCGGUGUAGCAGUGAAAUGCGUAGAGAUCGGAAGGAACAUCUGUGGCGAAGGCGACUACCUGGACUGAUACUGACACUGAGGUGCGAAAGCGUGGGGAGCAAACAGGAUUAGAUACCCCUGUAGUCCCUGUCUCUUAUAC